AAUUUUGGACAAUGGGGGAAACCCUGAUCCAGCCAUCCCGCGUGUAUGAUGAAGGCCUUCGGGUUGUAAAGUACUUUUGGCAGAGAAGAAAAGGUAUCUCCUAAUACGAGAUACUGCUGACGGUAUCUGCAGAAUAAGCACCGGCUAACUACGUGCCAGCAGCCGCGGUAAUACGUAGGGUGCAAGCGUUAAUCGGAAUUACUGGGCGUAAAGCGUGGGUGGGCGGUUCGGAAAGAAAAAUGUGAAAUCCCAGGGUUCAACCUUGGAAUUGAAUUUUAAACUGCCGAGCUAGAGUAUGUAAGAGGGGGGUAGAAUCCAAGGGGUAGAAGUGAAAUGCUUAGAUAUGUGAGGAAUACCGAUGGCGAAGGCAGCCCCCUGGGAUAAUACUGACGCUCAGACACGAAAGCGUGGGGAGCAAACAG
rnacentral:rRNA from 1 species